GACGAACGUUGGCGGCGUGCUUAAUACAUGCCAGUCAACUGAAGCAGUGGUAGCAAUAUCGCUGUGGAGGUGGCGCACGGGUGAGUAACACGUAGGUAAUCUGCCUUCAGGUCUGGCAUAACUCCGGGAAACCGGGGCUAAUAGCAGAUGAUGCAGCGGCUCGACAUCGAGACAGUUGUUAAAGCUAUGGCGCCUGAAGAUGAGCCUGCGUCUGAUUAGCUAGUUGGCGGGGUAACGGCCCACCAAGGCAACGAUCAGUAGCUGGUCUGAGAGGAUGAUCAGCCACACUGGAACUGAGACACGGUCCAGACUCCUACGGGAGGCAGCAGUAAGGAAUAUUGCUCAAUGGGAGAAUUCCUGAAGCAGCAACGCCGCGUGAGGGACGAAGGGCUUUUGCUUGUAAACCUCUGUAGUGAGAGAAAAAAAUCCCAAUCUUUGGGACAUGAUGGUAUCUCAAAAGUAAGCCCCGGCUAACUACGUG
rnacentral:rRNA from 1 species